rnacentral:rRNA from 1 species
UACGUAGGGCGCAAGCGUUAUCCGGAAUUAUUGGGCGUAAAGAGCUCGUAGGCGGUUUGUCGCGUCUGCCGUGAAAGUCCGGGGCUCAACUCCGGAUCUGCGGUGGGUACGGGCAGACUAGAGUGAUGUAGGGGAGUGUGGAAUUCCCGGUGUAGCGGUGAAAUGCGCAGAGAUCGGGAGGAACACCCGUAGCGAAGGCGGCACUCUGGGCCGGUACUGGACGCUGAGGAGCGAAAGCGUGGGGAGCAAACAGGG